UACGGAGGGGGCGAGCGUUAUUCGGAAUUAUUGGGCGUAAAGGGCGCGUAGGCGGCCCUGUAAGUCAAAGGUGAAAUCCCUCGGCUCAACCGGGGAAUUGCGCGAGAUACUGGUGGGCUAGAGAUCGGUAGGGGUGAGUGGAACUCCAGGUGGAGCGGUGAAAUGCGUAGAUAUCUGGAGGAACACCGGUGGCGAAAGCGGCUCACUGGACCGACACUGACGCUGAGGUGCGAAAGCUAGGGUAGCAAACGGG
rnacentral:rRNA from 1 species